rnacentral:rRNA from 1 species
UGCCUAACACAUGCAAGUCGCACGCAGUUAAGGGGGCAACUCCUUGAUUGAGUGGCGCACGGGUGAGUAACACGUAGGUAACCUACCCUUCACUGGGGAAUAACCUGUCGAAAGACGGGCUAAUUCCGCAUACGUCCAAGACUGCUCCGGCAGAUUUGGGGAAAGGCGGCCCGCAAGGGCUGUCGGUGAUGGAUGGGCCUGCGUACCAUUAGCUAGUUGGUAGGGUAAUGGCCUACCAAGGCGACGAUGGUUAGCUGGUCUGAGAGGAUGAUCAGCCACACUGGAACUGACACACGGUCCAGACUCCUACGGGAGGCAGCAGUGGGGAAUAUUGCGCAAUGGGCGAAAGCCUGACGCAGCAACGCCGCGUGAGGGAUGAAGGUUCUCGGAUUGUAAACCUC